ACCAAUGUGCCCAGAAUGCAGGACAUGGAGUCAAAGUUUAUUUUGGAGCUUUCAGAUUUAAUGUCUGCCCUACUGGGUUUCAGACUUGUGAGGGCCUGUUAACCUUUCUUUUGGCCAGUUUCUCCCUUUGGAAAUGAAAAUGUUUACCUAAUGCCUGUACAACCAUUGCAUCUCAAAAUUAAAUAACUUGUUUUUGAUUUUACAGGCCCAUAGCUGGAAGGAAUUUGCCCUGAGUCUCAGAUGAGACUUUGGACUUUGGACUUUUAAGCUGGUGUUGGAACAAGUUAAUGCUUUUGGGACUAUGAAUUUUGCAAGGGAUAACAUGAAUGUAGUUCCUCACUACCAUAAAUUAUGCAGUCGAGUUUCCUGCACCUGGGAGAAUCGCAGGAGUAAGCACAGCUAUGGGGUGCAAUGAGUGAGCCUCACCCUGGGAAACCACCUUCAUGAUCAUGGCAUCUCCCCUGCCCGGUGUUUACAGAAGCUUUAUUUAUAAUUGCUCAAACUUGGAAGGGCACUCAGUUCUCAAGCGAUUCCUGCUAUCUUCUCCUUCAGCUUCACCCAUCGGAGGGAUAUGCUUGGAAGACUGUGAGGAAACCCCACAAAGCAAGGAGGGUUAAACUGGGUUUUAAACUCAGUGUGUAAGUGAAGGCAGGUACCUUGUCUCUCCAAGCAAGGCCUUCUUAGCUGCUAAGUGCCAGAGCUACAGGAGGAACCAGCCAUGCACAGCUAAGAGCUAUGGGAGGUGUCUAAAAGCAAAGGACCUGACUGAUUUUAUGAGUAGUCCCUGCAAAAGUCCAUUCCACUGCCUUGUACAUCUUGUAAUGCUCCCCACCCUGCACCUACAUGUGCACACGUGUGCAUGCACAUGCACACACACACACAUUCCCUUUUUGUCAUUACUAGGGCUCCAGAGCUUGAUCCCUCUUCAUCAUCAAAUUUUUUGGGGGGGCUUUUAUGCUGUAUAGAACACUUUACCACAUUCUGGUUAAGAAAUGAGGCCUUGCCAUAAGUGGGCAUCCAAUGCAUUUUGGGGAAUUUACUCAGUGCAUUUUGGGGAGUAAUUUUACUUUACUUUUUUUUUUGUAGAGACGGGGUUUCACCAUGUUGACCAGGAUGGUCUCGAUCUCUUGACCUGAUGAUCCACCCACCUCAGCCUCCCAAAGUGCUGGGAUUAUAGUCAUGAGCCACCACGCCCAGCCUACUUUUUUUUUUAAAUUACUCCCUGUCGGGGAAUCAAACCCCAGUCUCCUGAGUCAGGCAGGGAUACUAACCACUAUACAAAUGAGGAUACUUUAAUUACUUUAAACGAGGAUA